CGCCCUUAGAGUUUGAUCCUGGCUCAGGACGAACGCUGGCGGCGUGCUUAACACAUGCAAGUCGAGCGGUAAGGCCUUUCGGGGUACACGAGCGGCGAACGGGUGAGUAACACGUGGGUGAUCUGCCCUGCACUUCGGGAUAAGCCUGGGAAACUGGGUCUAAUACCGGAUAUGACCUCCUAUCGCAUGGUGGGUGGUGGAAAGAUUUAUCGGUGCAGGAUGGGCCCGCGGCCUAUCAGCUUGUUGGUGGGGUAAUGGCCUACCAAGGCGACGACGGGUAGCCGACCUGAGAGGGUGACCGGCCACACUGGGACUGAGACACGGCCCAGACUCCUACGGGAGGCAGCAGUGGGGAAUAUUGCACAAUGGGCGAAAGCCUGAUGCAGCGACGCCGCGUGAGGGAUGACGGCCUUCGGGUUGUAAACCUCUUUCAGCAGGGACGAAGCGCAAGUGACGGUACCUGCAGAAGAAGCACCGGCUAACUACGUGCCAGCAGCCGCGGUAAUACGUAGGGUGCAAGCGUUGUCCGGAAUUACUGGGCGUAAAGAGUUCGUAGGCGGUUUGUCGCGUCGUUUGUGAAAACCAGCAGCUCAACUGCUGGCUUGCAGGCGAUACGGGCAGACUUGAGUACUGCAGGGGAGACUGGAAUUCCUGGUGUAGCGGUGAAAUGCGCAGAUAUCAGGAGGAACACCGGUGGCGAAGGCGGGUCUCUGGGCAGUAACUGACGCUGAGGAACGAAAGCGUGGGUAGCGAACAGGAUUAGAUACCCUGGUAGUCAAGGGC
rnacentral:rRNA from 1 species